CAUUUAAUCAUUAUAGUAUUCCUAGGACAUAGGUAUUGUUAGUUUCUCACUUGAUAGAUGGGAGAAAAGAGGCUAUGAAGCAUUAGAUUGGUCCCUUAUUGACUGAGUUAGGGGCCGGUCUGUGCUGUAAACAGCAUCUGUGUUGCAAAAUGUGCAGUAAGAGGUAGACUACAGUCCUUAGUCUAAACUUUCUCAGCUUUUAAGAGGGUCUUGAAGUCUAAAAUACCCAAGCAGAGCAGAAAUAUAUGGCCUGCUGGUUAGUGUACUUGAGCUUUAAGAUUCUCAAAUCACACAUGGACACAGGAAGGGGAACAUCACACACCGGGGCCUAUUGUGGGGUGAGGGGAGGGGGGAGGGAUAGCAUUGGAGAUAUACCUAAUGUUAAAUGACAAGUUAAUGGGUGCAGCACACCAACAUGGCACAUGUAUACAUAUGUAACUAACCUUCACGUUGCGCACAUGUACCCUAAAACUUAAAGCAUAAUAAGAAAAAAAAAAGAAAAAAAAGAAAAAUUAAAUGUAAAAAAAAAAAAUUCUCAAAUCACUGGAUUUUCACCAUGGUAGUUUGAAGGCAAGUGUUCAUGACCUGCAAGAUUAAUUUGUUCCAGUUUUCUUGCGUCCUACAUGAGUUAAGUGGUAUAUCCAGGUUUAAUUGCCAGCCAUCACUGAGGCCUCCCGACCUCCCUUGCAGCACAGGUUCUACCGCGGGGCUGAGUAUUCAUUCCUGUUUCUGUUUUCUCACCAAAACCACUCUGG
rnacentral:lncRNA from 10 species